rnacentral:rRNA from 1 species
AUAGCGUAUAUUAAAGUUGUUGCAGUUAAAAAGCUCGUAGUUGAACCUUGGGCCUGGCUGCUCGGUCCGCCUAACCGCGUGCACUGAUGCGGCCGGGCCUUUCCUUCUGGCUAACCUCAUGCCCUUUACUGGGUGUGUUGGAGAUCCAGGACUUUUACUUUGAAAAAAUUAGAGUGUUCAAAGCAGGCCUUUGCUCGAAUACAUUAGCAUGGAAUAAUAGAAUAGGACGGCGGUUCUAUUUUGUUGGUUUCUAGAGCCACCGUAAUGAUUAAUAGGGAUAGUCGGGGGCAUCAGUAUUCAAUCGUCAGAGGUGAAAUUCUUGGAUUGAUUGAAGACUAACUACUG